UAUAAAUAUAGCCCCAAAAAAAAUUAUACCAAGUCCAUCAGUGAUCGACUUGAGCAGACUAGAUCUCGACACUCAGUCACCAUCUGAGAAGUGAGAAUCACUUCCGCAGCCACCGCGACUCCCUCAGUCCCUCACCAUGAUUCCCUCUGUCCCUCAUCGCAACAACAUGGCUACUCUCUGAGGCUCAAACUCUCAGUCUCGCCGCGACUCCAUGGCUCCACGCGGCCACGCCUCCUGUUUCUUGAGCUCAAGAUGGUGGUAGUGUUGGCGAGGAUGAGCCUCCUACUGAAUUCCAAACCUCAAAAUAUAUAUAUAUAUAAAUUAUCAAAAUUUGUAUAUAGCUAAAAUUAGCCCAACCCGUUAGCAAAUCAUGGCUACGUCCGUGCUAUGCAUGGUAGUUUGGGUGAUGGAGUCACAGUCAAUUACGUUGGGUGGCUUCGUACAUGCAAGCGAACUAGCUCAAUCUCGGGCCUUCCUAUGUUAGAUCACUACCACAAAUUUGUUUGAGGUUUUACUAGAUGGUGUUCUUGUUGUAUGUGCUUUUUUGACAUCAUUCGUCCCAAGUCAUUGUGAAUUGCUAGUAUUUCCUUGA